rnacentral:snRNA from 10 species
GGAUGUGAGGGGGAUCUGGCUGCGACAUCUGUCACCCCACUGAUCGCCAGGGUUGAUUCAGCUGAUCUGGCUGGCUAGGCGGGUGUCCCCUUCUUCCCUCACUGCUCCAUGUGUGCCCCUCCCGAAGCUGCAUGCUCGGUCCAAGAGGACAACCAUCCCUGAUAGAGGAGGACCAGUCUUCAGUCAAGGGUAUACAAGUAGCUGUGCUCCCCUGCUAGAACCUCCAAACAAGCUCUCAAAAAGCUUGGGCAGACAGACUGAAAAGUGACAUGCUUUGGGGACUAAGGGCUUUCAAA